rnacentral:tRNA from 1 species
AAGAAAUUAGUUUAAAAUAAAACAUUAACUUGUCAAGUUAAAAAUACAUAAUUGUAUUUCUUA